rnacentral:rRNA from 1 species
UACGGAGGGUGCGAGCGUUGUCCGGAAUCACUGGGCGUAAAGGGCGCGUAGGCGGCCCGAUAAGUAGGGGGUGAAAUCUUGCGGCUCAACCGCAAGGCUGCCUUCUAGACUGUCGGGCUUGAGCACAGUAGAGGCAGGUGGAAUUCCCGGUGUAGCGGUGGAAUGCGUAGAGAUCGGGAAGAACACCAGUGGCGAAGGCGGCUCACUGGGGCCGGGACCUG